rnacentral:rRNA from 1 species
CGGGACGGGUGAGUAACGUGUGGGCAACCUGCCCUAUACUGGGGAAUAAUCACUGGAAACGGUGACUAAUACCGCAUGUCAUUACGGAAGGGCAUCCUUCUGUAAGAAAAGGAGUAAUUCGGUAUAGGAUGGGCCCGCAUCUGAUUAGCUAGUUGGUGAGAUAACAGCCCACCAAGGCGACGAUCAGUAGCCGACCUGAGAGGGUGACCGGCCACAUUGGGACUGAGACACGGCCCAA